UACGGGGGGGGCAAGCGUUGUUCGGAAUUACUGGGCGUAAAGCGCACGUAGGCGGCUUUGUAAGUUAGAGGUGAAAGCCCAGGGCUUAACCCUGGAAUUGCCUUUAAGACUGCAUCGCUAGAAUCGUGGAGAGGUAAGUGGAAUUCCGAGUGUAGAGGUGAAAUUCGUAGAUAUUCGGAAGAACACCAGUGGCGAAGGCGACUUACUGGACAGGUAUUGACGCUGAGGUGCGAAAGCGUGGGGAGCAAACAGG
rnacentral:rRNA from 1 species